rnacentral:rRNA from 1 species
GCCUAACACAUGCAAGUCGAGCGGCAGCGAGAGUAGUAGCAAUACUACUUGUCGGCGAGCGGCGGACGGGUGAGGAACACGUAGGAACUUGCCCAAAAGAGGGGGAUAACCAAGGGAAACUUUGGCUAAUACCGCAUAAACUCGAGAGAGAAAAGGUGCCCGCAAGGGUGUCGCUUUUGGAGAGGCCUGCGUCCGAUUAGCUAGUUGGUGAGGUAAGGGCUCACCAAGGAGGCGAGCAGUAGCUGGUCUGAGAGGAUGGUCAGCCACACUGGGACUGGAACACGGCCCAGACUCCUACGGGAGGCAGCAGUGGGGAAUAUUGGACAAUGGGGGCAACCCUGAUCCAGCCAUGCCGCGUGAGUGAUGAAGGCCUUAGGGUUGUAAAGCUCUUUUACCCGGGACGAUAAUGACUGUACCGGGAGAAUAAGCCCCGGCUAACUUCGUGCCAGCCGCCGCCGUAA